CCUACGGGAGGCAGCAGUGAGGAAUAUUGGUCAAUGGGCGCGAGCCUGAACCAGCCAAGUCGCGUGAGGGAAGACGGUCCUAUGGAUUGUAAACCUCUUUUGUCGGGGAGCAAAAGACGCCACGCGUGGCGUUCCGAGAGUACCCGAAGAAAAAGCAUCGGCUAACUCCGUGCCAGCAGCCGCGGUAAUACGGGGGAUGCGAGCGUUAUCCGGAUUUAUUGGGUUUAAAGGGUGCGCAGGCGGAAGAUCAAGUCAGCGGUAAAAUUGAGAAGCGCAAACUCGUCGAGCCGUUGAAACUGGGUGCCUUGAGUGGGCGAGAAGGACGCGGAAUGCGUGGUGUAGCGGUGAAAUGCAUAGAGAUCACGCAGAACUCCGAGUGCGAAGGCAGCGUACCGGCGCCCAACUGACGCUGAAGCACGAAGGCGUGGGUAUCGAACAGGAUGAGAUACCCCAGUAGUC
rnacentral:rRNA from 1 species